UGGGAAUUUUGGACAAUGGGCGCAAGCCUGAUCCAGCCAUGCCGCGUGCGGGAAGAAGGCCUUCGGGUUGUAAACCGCUUUUGUCAGGGAAGAAAUCUUCUGAGUUAAUACCUCGGGGAGGAUGACGGUACCUGAAGAAUAAGCACCGGCUAACUACGUGCCAGCAGCCGCGGUAAAUACGUAGGGUGCAAGCGUUAAUCGGAAUACUGGGCGUAAAGCGUGCGCAGGCGGUUUUNUAAGACAGAGGUGAAAUCCCCGGGCUCAACCUGGGAACUGCCUUUGUGACUGCAAGGCUUGAGUGCGGCAGAGGGGGAUGGAAUUCCGCGUGUAGCAGUGAAAUGCGUAGAUAUGCGGAGGAACACCGAUGGCGAAGGCAAUCCCCUGGGCCUGCACUGACGCUCAUGCACGAAAGCGUGGGGAGCAAACAGGAUUAGAUA
rnacentral:rRNA from 1 species